CAGAUCACCAAAGCAGCAGGAUGUGAGCUGCCCCACUGAAAAAGGACUCUCCAGACACUGCCUUGUGCUCCAGGAUUCAGUCACCUUCCUUAUCACAGACACCUUCUGCCCAUACAACUGUCUUUACAGCAUUUGUCGGAGACACAGUUGAUAACUGUUGUCAUGGUCACCUGACUGAUCUGUCUGCCCGACUAGAGCGUGAGAGUCAAUAGAGACAGAAGAUGCUUCUGUUGGGCUCCAUCAUCUCUGCCAGCUCUGUCAUCUCUGCCGGCUCCGUCAUCUCAGCAGGUUCCAUCAUCUCGGCAGGCUCCAUCAUCUCGGCAGGCUCUAUCAUCUCUGUCGGCUCCGUCAUCUCGGCGGGCUCCGUCAUCUCUGCUGGCUCCUUCAUCUCUGCCGGCUCCAUCAUCUCAGCAGGCUCCAUCACGGAAUCCAGCGUGAGAGGUGACAGACAAGAGACAACUGCCUCAGUCUGUAUCUUGAUGAUAGAUUUGGGUACCAAACUGUCUCAUAUGCAUCACUGUUCCCUCACCUCAGACUCUAAGCACCUGCUUGGGCAUUAAGGACAUUGUGAAGCAGAUCUAUAAUGUAGGAACAGCUGGAGGAAAUGCUGGAUAGCAACCGUCACCACAAUAAUGAAUGUUAAAAUGAUUGCUAAAAUGUCU